GACAGAGGGUGCAAACGUUGUUCGGAAUUACUGGGCGUAAAGCGAGUGUAGGCGGUGUGGUAAGUCGGAUGUGAAAGCCCCGGGCUCAACCCGGGAAGUGCACUCGAUACUGCCACGCUAGAGUAUCGGAGAGGUUGGUGGAAUUCUCGGUGUAGAGGUGAAAUUCGUAGAUAUCGAGAGGAACACCGGUGGCGAAGGCGGCCAACUGGACGAAUACUGACGCUGAGGAACGAAAGCCAGGGUAGCGAACGGG
rnacentral:rRNA from 1 species